AAUGAACGCUGGCGGCGUGCCUAAUACAUGCAAGUCGAGCGGACGAACGAGAAGCUUGCUUCUCUGAUGUUAGCGGCGGACGGGUGAGUAACACGUGGAUAACCUACCUAUAAGACUGGGAUCACUUCGGGAACCCGGAGCUCAUACCGGAUAAUAUUUUGAACCGCAUGGUUCAAAGGUGAACGACGGUCUUGCUGUCCCUUAUAGAUGGAACCACGCUGCAUUAGCUAGUUGGUAAGGUAACGGCCUACCAAGGCAACGAUGCGUAGCCGAUCUGAGAGGAUGAUCAGUCACACUGGAACUGAGACACGGUCCAGACUCCUACGGGAGGCAGCAGUAGGGAAUCUUCCGCAAUGGGCGAAAGCCUGACGGAGCAACGCCGCGUGAGUGAUGAAGGUCUUCGGAUCGUAAAGCUCUUUUAGUAGGGAAGAACAUAUGUGUAAGUAACUGUGCACAUCUUGACGUUACCUAAUCAGAAAGCCACGGCUAACUACGUG
rnacentral:rRNA from 1 species